AACAGGCUGAUACCGCCCAAGAGUUCAUAUCGACGGCGGUGUUUGGCACCUCGAUGUCGGCUCAUCUCAUCCUGGGGCUGUAGCCGGUCCCAAGGGUAUGGCUGUUCGCCAUUUAAAGAGGUACGUGAGCUGGGUUUAAAACGUCGUGAGACAGUUUGGUCCCUAUCUGCCGUGGGCGUUGGAUAUUUGAAGGGGGCUGCUCCUAGUACGAGAGGACCGGAGUGGACGAACCUCUGGUGUACCGGUUGUGACGCCAGUCGCAUCGCCGGGUAGCUAUGUUCGGAAGAGAUAACCGCUGAAAGCAUCUAAGCGGGAAACUCGCCUUAAGAUGAGAUAUCCCUGGGGACUUGAUCCCCUUGAAGGGUCGUUCGAGACCAGGACGUUGAUAGGUCAGGUGUGUAAGCGCAGUAAUGCGUUCAGCUAACUGAUACUAAUUGCCCGUAAGGCUUGAUCCUAUAACA
rnacentral:rRNA from 1 species